GGACCAGUGAUGAACCUGGUGGUAGAGUCGCUGCCUGGCAAGCAGUAGAUGCAGGUUCAAAUCCUGCUGGUUCCA
rnacentral:tRNA from 1 species